rnacentral:misc_RNA from 1 species
GGCAAUGGCAACACGCCUAGC